rnacentral:rRNA from 1 species
GCUCAGGAUGAACGCUAGCUACAGGCUUAACACAUGCAAGUCGAGGGGUAGCAGGGUAGCAAUACCGCUGACGACCGGCGCACGGGUGAGUAACACGUAUCCAACCUUCCCAUAACUCGGGGAUAGCCUUUCGAAAGAAAGAUUAAUAUCCGAUAGUAUAUUAAAACCGCAUGGUUUUACUAUUAAAGAAUUUCGGUUAUCGAUGGGGAUGCGUUCCAUUAGUUUGUUGGCGGGGUAACGGCCCACCAAGACUACGAUGGAUAGGGGUUCUGAGAGGAAGGUCCCCCACAUUGGAACUGAGACACGGUCCAAACUCCUACGGGAGGCAGCAG